CCCAACAUGGCAGAUUUAUGCGUAAAGUUUAGGACUUUAAUAAGGGUCACCUAUUGGGU
rnacentral:tRNA from 1 species